CCCCCAUGAAGACCUUCAAGUAGUUCAGCCUAAUGCUGAAUCUGGACGUCCCGAUUCCCCCCUCCUAUUGGCUUCUUGUGGUUCAUCCCAGUGCUUCUCGACCUGGUACAUUCCGGUUCCCCGCUCGCAGACUUCCGACGUGGAUGGUGCCCCCCAUGGUCGCUGAGACUCCCCUUCGAGGAUUGCACCCGCCCGUCCUAAGUCUCCCCACAAGGCGAGGGGAGUUACCCCUAAAACAAAGCUAUUAAAGGGACAGAAUACUUCCUGUU
rnacentral:sRNA from 1 species